rnacentral:rRNA from 1 species
AGCGAACGCUGGCGGCAGGCCUAACACAUGCAAGUCGAACGGUCCUUCGGGGCAGUGGCGGACGGGUGAGUAACGCGUGGGAACGUGCCCUUAGGUUCGGAACAACUCAGGGAAACUUGAGCUAAUACCGAAUGUGCCCUACGGGGGAAAGAUUUAUCGCCUUUGGAGCGGCCCGCGUCUGAUUAGCUAGUUGGUGAGGUAAAGGCUCACCAAGGCUACGAUCAGUAGCUGGUCUGAGAGGAUGAUCAGCCACACUGGGACUGAGACACGGCCCAGACUCCUACGGGAGGCAGCAGUGGGGAAUCUUGCGCAAUGGGCGAAAGCCUGACGCAGCCAUGCCGCGUGAAUGAUGAAGGUCUUAGGAUUGUAAAAUUCUUUCACCGGGGACGAUAAUGACGGUACCCGGAGAAGAAGCCCCGGCUAACUUCGUGCCAGCAGCCGCGGUAAUACGAAGGGGGCUAGCGUUGCUCGGAAUUACUGGGCGUAAAGGGCGCGUAGGCGGACAGUUU